UCAGGAUGAACGCUAGCGGCAGGCUUAACACAUGCAAGUCGAGGGGCAUCGGGAGUAGCAAUACUGCCGGCGACCGGCGCAAGGGUGCGUAACGCGUGAGCAACAUGCCCGUAUCAGGGGGGAUAAUCCAUGGAAACGUGGUCUAAUACCCCAUAGUAAUUAUGUAAGGCAUCUUAUAUAAUUUAAAGCUUUGGUGGAUACGGAUUGGCUCGCGUGACAUUAGGCUGGAUGGUAAGGUAACGGCUUACCAUGGCUACGAUGUCUAGGGGUUCUGAGAGGAAGGUCCCCCACACUGGAACUGAGACACGGUCCAGACUCCUACGGGAGGCAGCAGUGAGGAAUAUUGGACAAUGGAUGGAAAUCUGAUCCAGCCAUGCCGCGUGCAAGGAAGACGGCCCUAUGGGUUGUAAACUGCUUUUGUAUGGGAGCGAAUAAGGGCUACGUGUAGUCCGAUGAGAGUACCAUACGAAUAAGCACCGGCUAACUCCGUGCCAGCCGCGGC
rnacentral:rRNA from 1 species